GGAGAAGCUGCUGGAGCUGUUCUCAACAAGAUGGCUGACACCCCCUCAACAAGAUGGCUGCCUCAAGGACAGGGCUCAGAAGUGACAAGGGACUACCCUGCAACUCCCAGCACCAUGAGAUCACUCCUGAAUGGACCCUCAGAAACCAAAUCCAUCAACUGCAGGCCCACUUCUGGUGAGCUCACAACUUCACCGCUGCUCCUGAAACUCUGCCACCUCUUCAACUGUCUCCUCCAGUGCAACCAUUGUUCCCACCUCCACUGGUCUACUCUCCCUCCAGAAACAUGACGUGGAGCUCCACACUCGGGGCACUACUCACAACAUCACAAAGCAGGCAGGUAGGGAGUUACCAGAAUUCCUGUUUCCAUCUUUAACUUGGGCAUGUCCUUAUUUCUGCAAGGUGAUCCAAGCUGCCUGGAUGGAAGGGCAGAUGUGAGAAAUUUCUCCCCAGCUCCUUGCACCUCAGGUUGAGCAGAACCCUGGAGAGCUCCUCCUCCUCCUCCUCCCCGCGGCCUCCAGCUGCGCCGCUGCGCAGGGCAGGGGUGCACAGAAACUGGAGUAAGCCACAUGCAAAUCAGUGGUAACCAAAUAUGCUUAACCCAGGGGGAAGCUGGUGGGAAGAGCAGUCAGUGAGAGGUUAAUAAACAAGCAAGCAAAUAGGCUGGAAUAUACAGGCCCUGGUAUAUUGGCAUGUCAGUGGAGGGCUGUGUCUAGUAAAUAAACAAACAUACUUUAGCUGUUUCCUCAGGGUAAAGGGAGUAGGAGUGUGUUCAAAGAGUAAUAUUUGCUUUAUGCUAUCCUGCAAGCACAGGUUCAAUAUGUAUAUAUUAGGAAGUAUUUAUAGGUUGUAUAUGUGAAUGAUCAAGGAAUUAAGACAACUUGAAUAAUCAGCAGCGUACACCAAAUCCCAUCGGUCUGAUCCCAGUCCCUAGUUCCUCACUUCUCCGUGUUACAAAUUCACAGGCGAUUAAAAUGGCUACUUAGCUAUGUGAUGUUAUUGUAAGCAGCAUCACUUGUCAGGUAUUUUAAGUAUGAAAAGUGAUGUUAAUUGUUAGGCAUUACUACCCAGGUAAAAUUACACCCCAGUUUUAAGAAUACACAACAGUAUUCCAGUAAUUUCUUUAAUGUGAUAGCUUUGAGAGAGUGAUACGUUUUUCUUUUACAUUUGUACUACAAGACCUUUGUUAUUACUUUGUUCAUUAAAAUUCUCUCUGCAAUAAAGAUGAUUCAAUGAUUUCGCAAACCAAUCUCAUCCUCAGAAUGUUAUAAUUUGACAAUUUCAAGGCUUCCCAACACAGACCCGUGUAUAUAUGUCAUAUAUCACAUUGCAGAUUUCAUCCAAUAGCAGAAAAUGUACUCUGAAUGCAAUAUCAUCUUAUCAGUAUUCUAGCACCAUAAGCUUUCUCACUGCAAGCAGGGUACUGUUCAUUACAAUGAAACUGAAAAUGGAAUAACUGAAGGAUUGAUUUAUAUGACCUUCGCUCAGGAAUGUUCUAAUUCUGACAUAAUCUCUCUGACUGAAACCCUAAACACUGUAUAAUUCUGAUUUAUUUCCCUUCAAAGAAGGAGCUUAGAUCUCUAGAUCAGCAGAAUACCUAGCAUGAAAAAAAGUGGUGCAACAGCUCAGGAAGACUGCAAGAAAAAUGCAGAUUGAUCAUGUGACUGAACUCCAAACAUUGUCUCAGCCAGCAAAUCCAAGAACAGGGCUGAAAGCAAGUGGAAAAACAUGAUGUGGAUGUUUUCACAAAUCCCCUCCAUCGCUCAGAAAUCUCUUGGUUACAUAUACAUUUUAAUAGCAAAGAUAAGAGCAUGUUAAUAAGUUAAAACACGAACCAAUCUGUUUCCUGAAAGUUGCAGGGAAUGUUUAUGAAAACAGCUAAUUUAUAGCAAAACAGGGCCAGAGCUUGAGCCCGAUACGCUAUACAAAAGGCUGCUUUACCAGGCAGCUCUGUUCUCCUCCUGCAACAGCACUAUACGUAUUCUGUGCUACUCUGUCCUAAUAUCUGCUUGCCACAGGGGCCAGGAGAAGCCUUAUCAGUGGUGUGAGGGUAUGUUGGACCUAUCUCUGACUGCUAUCAGGUGAAAGCUACAGCAGCCCUACGGUGUGCUGCUUAAAAAUAAUACCUGAUACCUUUAAAGCAAAGUAGCUGGAGCUAAAUCGAGUAGAAUCUGCCUGAAUUGGAAGGUGAAUCGGGUUGACUCUCACUUCUUGUAUUUUUUGGUGAGGUAAAGAGAGCCAUUAGAAGAAAGGACAGAUACAAACUAUUCUCAAUGAACUGGUUGAUAAAUAUACAUUAAAAGCCCAAUGAACACAGUUAACACCUUCCAUAAUUAAAAUGAACAGGUCAUCUAAUUUUAAGCAGACUAAAACAGAAACCUGCCCCCAACCUGCUCCUUUUUCUGUUCUUAGUGUUGGGUGAAAUGAGCGUCUGCCUCCUUUCCUCCUGCACACUCAGCUCACAGUUCCCACUUAGCCACUUCCCAGUCCUAUUUUGGACAAAUCUCUAUCUUACCACCCUCCUCUUGCAAAUCCUUCCUUUCUGGGGUACUCGGCAUCCUCCUCUCACACAGAACUCACCUUUUACAAGCGGUAUCUGAUCAGUCUUACUUUACCCUGGGCAGAAAAUGGAGGGGGUUAUUGUAGGAAAAAAUUCUUUUCAAUCAGUGCAUUUUGUGGCUGGUAUGAAUACUUUGUUUAAUCCUAGCAGAUGGUAGUCUCCUCUAUGCAGGAAUAUUCGUCUGCUUCGCUGUAUAGCACAAUGCUAGUCCAAGCACAUUAUUCUCACCUAUGAAUGGACCUGUUCCUUAUUACUCCCAAAGAUCAAACACAAUUCCUCCAGUAUUUUUCACUUGCUGACAGUCUGAGCUACAGCUACUGCAGCCACUGUAAAAGCACUACAGCCUCGGAGAGAUUAUUCCUUCCUUCCUGAAUACGUUAGAGUGGAUAUACCAGGAACUAAAUUUGUGCUUAGGGAUAGCAGGAAGUGCCUGAUUCGUUUUAUGUAUUUGUAGAUAGGAAAAAGAAAAAGGGGAGGGGGGAGGGGGAGAAAAAUAAAAGAGAAAAUGAGAAAAGAAAGGACUUGGGUGGAAUCAAAUUUAGGACAUUUAUUCUCUCAGCUAUAUGGGCACAGUUUUCAAGAGUAAUAAAAAAGAGUAAUAAAAUAAAUUAUUUAUAUCAAAACCUGUCUCCUACUGGAAUGACAUAAAGGCCUGAAAGCAGUGGACAAAAGAGGACAAACCCAGUGUGCGUGUUAUUUUUAUAAUCAAUUAGCACUGUAAUUGUAUAUGGUGCAUAUCAACGUAUAUGAAUACAAUACAGACAAUAUUUGAUUCUUCGGACUGGAAAACUUGAUGUAAAGCCCCGUUCUGCAAAGCAAUCCUGGCAUGCUUGAUUUUCAGCAUGAGCUGUUUAUGGAAUUCUCAAAUGACUGUAUUUAUCAGUAGGAAAAUCAAAACAGCAGAGGAAGUAAUAUAGUCUUAGAUUUCCCAAUGGUGAAUUCAUUAGCAGAGGCAAUUCUGGGCUCAGGCUGGUAUCUCAUCCACCAGGCAGCACUCACUUCCCAAUGUAAUGACAGAUGAUGGUAAAAGCUUAGCAGUGUUUUGCUGUGCUGGGAAAGCAGACAGGGGUGGGAGUGAAGAGCACCAUGGUAUCUUCUUUGACCAAUGGAAAACCAUUAAGCAGGAGAGAUUAAGAACUGGACUUUAUGAGGAUGAUUAUCGUUACCCUCAACAAC
ensembl:lncRNA